CUGUGAUGUGUGUCAACUGCUGCAGACAGGUAACAAUCUGAAAGGUUGUGGAGCUGUCUAAACCAUUUGAUAUUUCAUCCAUAAAGAGAGCCCUUGUUGGACCAACUAUCAUUUCCCCUGGUGGCGCAUAAAAUCAAAGGUUUCUUGAGUACGAGAAAGACCUUGAGAGACUCGUGAAGCUUCCCCGCAAGUGCCUGUAACAAUGUUGUUUUUCCACAGCCUGGAGGGCCUAGCAAUAGAGUCAUCCUGCAUGGAACGUAUUGUAAAACUGAGAAACAUGAUUAAGGUUGCGGCCAUAUAGAUGAAAUGAUUUCUCGCACAAAGCAAUGAUGAAAGGCAUAGGUUAUGCAACCAUCUUCAUUGUGCAUGAAGAAAGAAACACUUACAGAGAACAAACUUUUAACGCUGUUCCAAAGGCUGGGAAGUGGUUUUCCAUGAACUACUUCACAUUCUGCUUCAACACAUAAAUUCUGAUAUCUAACUUCCACAGUUGGCAGUUCCAGACCCACUCUGAAACAUAACUCUAUCGAUGAAAACUCUCCGUUCUAUUGCUCGAAGCUUGGUAAGGUCAACAACCCUUUUUGCCUCCCCAUCCUCACCACCUUCGUUGUCAGACAUUAUCGACAUUCUAAGUCGUUUUGUUGACGGUAAUCUUUCAAUUGCUGCCCACUGCAAUGCCUCUUCUUCAUCGUCGCGCUUCGUGCUUUCACGAUCCAAGGAUGCACUGGCGCGGCUUCCUUCUACGGUGGCUAAUUCUAGUACUCCUAAGGACUCAUCAUCUGUCAUUUUAGAGACUCCUGAGAGUAAUCGAGCUUCCCUAUCUGUAUGUAAUCGUUGAAAUGGUUCAAAAGGUAAAGCGAGUAGUUGAUUGUUAAUCAAUGGAGGUUAAUGUUGUGUGUA